AUGGAACCCUUCUGUGGACUCUACCGAUGCUGGGUACCUCGGAAGACCACGUGACGUGCCUUGUUGCUGGGCCAUGGGGAAUGGAGCUCCUUCUGGAUCCUGUACAUCCCCCAGAUCCUGAAGGUUAUAAGAAAGAACAAGGACGAGGCUCAGAGUGGGAGUAAGGUCAUUCUGCAUCCAGCUCUUCCUGUCUGUCUAUUAGGGCAAACAAGGCUUUGGAGCUCACACCUGUAAUCCCAGAAGACUGAGGCAGGAGGAUCAGAAGCUCAGAGUGGCCUCUGGAUAUAUCUCAAGAAAAAUGAUGGGAGUGAAGACUGGAGUGAUGACUCAGCAGUUAAGAGCUUUCCCACCUCUUUCAGAGCCUAGCAUAACUCCCUUGAGAGGCUUCACCCAGCAGCUGAUGGAAACAGAUGCCGAGACCCACAGCCAAAGGUUAGACAGAGCUCAGAGAGGACCGUGGAAGAGUUGGGAGAAUGACUGAGGGAGCUGGGGGAGUCAAGGACUCCACAAGAAGACUGACAGAGUCAACUAAUCUGGGUCCAUGGGGGCUCACAGAGACUGAACCACUGGCUCAGGCCCCCUGAUUGGUCCUCAUGUGGGUGCCCCAAUAACAGGAGCCCUCUUUGACUCUGAUGCCUGCCUUUGGGUCCCUUUCCUUGUCUGGCCUCAAUGGAAGAGGAUGUGCCUAUCUGGCAGCAGCUUAAUGUGCCAGGACAGGUUGGUACCCAUGGGGACCUCCCCCUUCUCCUCAAAGAAGGGGAGGGGAGAAAAGGGUAUGUGAAGGAGGACUGGGAGGAGAAGGAGGAGGGGGCUGCGAUCAGGAUAUAAAGUGAAUAAAUAAAUAAAU